rnacentral:rRNA from 1 species
GAUGAACGCUGGCGGCGUGCUUAACACAUGCAAGUCGAACGAAACACCUUAUUUGAUUUUCUUCGGAACUGAAGAUUUGGUGAUUGAGUGGCGGACGGGUGAGUAACGCGUGGGUAACCUGCCCUGUACAGGGGGAUAACAGUCAGAAAUGACUGCUAAUACCGCAUAAGACCACAGCACCGCGUGGUGCAGGGGUAAAAACUCCGGUGGUACAGGAUGGACCCGCGUCUGAUUAGCUGGUUGGUGAGGUAACGGCUCACCAAGGCGACGAUCAGUAGCCGGCUUGAGAGAGUGAACGGCCACAUUGGGACUGAGACACGGCCCAAACUCCUACGGGAGGCAGCAGUGGGGAAUAUUGCACAAUGGGGGAAACCCUGAUGCAGCGACGCCGCGUGAGUGAAGAAGUAUUUCGGUAUGUAAAGCUCUAUCAGCAGGGAAGAAAAUGACGGUACCUGACUAAGAAGCCCCGGCUAACUACGUG